AUCAUAUUAUAUUUAUUGUUGGAAGAUUGCUGGAAAAUAUAAACAAACAGUCUACACAAGGAUAUAUACCUCAGAUAUAUAUGAAAGCCAACAAAAGAAAUAUAUAAAAAAAACAAAAACAGAAUAUAUAUUAAACAUGCAGAGAUGAUAUAUAUUAAAACGGCAAGACGUUGAUUAUACAUGAGUGUACGUAUUAGUUUCUCAAGGGUGUGAAGGCAGCGGAGGCCAUUUCCCGAACUUGGGGUGGUGAAUGUAUUUAGGAGGAAGAGGUGGAAACUUAGGAAGCGGUGGGAGUGGCGGACAUGGCUUCUUUGGAAUCACCACCGGUGGUUCGUAUACUGGUACCGGCGGAGGGCAUGGCUUUUUCGGAAUCACAACAGGUGGUUUAUAGAUUGGCGGAUGCUCUAUCUUCGGCGGCGGCUUGUAGAUUGGAACCGACGGUGGAAGAUCUAUCUUGGGCGGACAAGGUUUCUUCGGCGGCUUGUGGAUUGGUACAUGCGGUGGUAAGACUAUCUUUGGCGGCGGCUUGUGGACUGGAACCGUCGGUGGGUCAACUUUCUUUGGCGGACAAGGCUUCUUUGGUGGUGGUUUGUGGACUGGCACCGGCGGGGGAAGCUCGGCCUUCGGAGGAC
rnacentral:lncRNA from 1 species